GACGAACGCUGGCGGCGUGCUUAACACAUGCAAGUCGAACGGAAAGGCCCUGCGUUUGUGGGGUGCUCGAGUGGCGAACGGGUGAGUAACACGUGAGUAACCUGCUCUUGACUUUGGGGUAAGUUCAGGAAACUGGGGUUAAUACCGUAUAGGAUCUCCUGCUGCAUUGUGGGGGUUGGAAAGUUUCGGCGGUUGGGGAUGGACUCGCGGCUUAUCAGCUUGUUGGUGGGGUAGUGGCUUACCAAGGCUUUGACGGGUAGCCGGCCUGAGAGGGUGACCGGCCACAUUGGGACUGAGAUACGGCCCAGACUCCUACGGGAGGCAGCAGUGGGGAAUAUUGCACAAUGGGCGGAAGCCUGAUGCAGCAACGCCGCGUGCGGGAUGACGGCCUUCGGGUUGUAAACCGCUUUCGCCUGUGACGAAGCGUGAGUGACGGUAAUGGGUAAAGAAGCACCGGCUAACUACGUG
rnacentral:rRNA from 1 species